ACGAACGCUGGCGGCGUGCUUAACACAUGCCAGUCGAACGAAGAGCGACGGAAGCUUGCUUCUAUCAAUCUUAGUGGCGAACGGGUGAGUAACGCGUAAUCAACCUGCCCUUCAGAGGGGGACAACAGUUGGAAACGACUGCUAAUACCGCAUACGAUCUAACCUCGGCAUCGAGGAUAGAUGAAAGGUGGCCUCUACAUGUAAGCUAUCACUGAAGGAGGGGAUUGCGUCUGAUUAGCUAGUUGGAGGGGUAACGGCCCACCAAGGCGAUGAUCAGUAGCCGGUCUGAGAGGAUGAACGGCCACAUUGGGACUGAGACACGGCCCAGACUCCUACGGGAGGCAGCAGUGGGGAAUCUUCCGCAAUGGACGAAAGUCUGACGGAGCAACGCCGCGUGAGUGAUGACGGCCUUCGGGUUGUAAAGCUCUGUUAAUCGGGACGAAAGGCCUUCUUGCGAAUAGUGAGAAGGAUUGACGGUACCGGAAUAGAAAGCCACGGCUAACUACGUG
rnacentral:rRNA from 1 species